AGAUUUUGCAUACGAUUUUCACAAUCAGAUUCCACUUUCGCGUGCAAUAACAUUGUGUACUUAAUUUCCCUGUCAAAUUCCUGAUUCCUCUUGUGUCCCUAUUCCAAAUUUCCAUUCCACGGGAAGUCUAUUCCUAGAGGUCAAAUUCGACCCCGGCUUCAUUCAUAGUCCACCGAAAGGGCAAGCACAUGCUGGCGAUGCUCCUACUCGACACCGGAAUGAACUGGCAACUUGAUCACUCUGUUAAAUUCGCAGGUGAGAAUAAAUGAAAGCGACGCAGGUCCCCUCACAUAGGUGAAGGAAAGCAGCGAAGGUCCAGUCAUCGACCCCAUCUUCCGCAAAGGCACGGGAAUGUGGUGGGGGAUGAUGCUGACAGUGGCUGGAACUCCUGAAGUGUUACAAGUGUCUUCUGAAGCGGUUCUAAUAUAUAAAUCAACGAGAGAUGGAAGAGCUCCAAGCUGUUGCUGGUUCAGCGGAUGCGGAGCAAUAGUCGGUUGCAUCUUUCUCUGAAAGUAUGGCUAUUUCUCCGUUGCACAGCCAGUCGGCUGGUCUGCAGGUUGCAAUGUUAGAUCAUUAUCCUCUGGCAAAGUAGGUGUGCAAGCUCGUUGCAAUAUGGCAAGAUACUAAAGAAGCUUAUGGCACCAAAGAUUUAUUUUAUUUUUAUUUUUAUUUUUAUUUUUUGCAUUUGAAUUUGAUUUAUUGAUUAACUUUAGAUUAUAUUGUGAUGUCGCUUGGAUUAAGCAAAAACAUUGUUAAGGUGGCAUAUUAGGUCCUCUAAUCCAAGCACUUUAAAAUCUUUUUAUUUAUUUACUUAUUUAUAUUUUUAUCCU